UUUCCGUAGGUGAACCUGCGGAAGGAUCAUUCAUAAUAAAGUGUUUUAUGGCACUUUUAAAAAAUCCAUAUCCACCUUGUGUGCAAUGUUAGAUCUCGUCAAUCUUGGCGAGAUUUUUUUACAUCAACUCAUUCUUUAACUAAUUUGUCUGAAAAAUAUUAUGAAUACUUAAUUCAAAAUACAACUUUCAACAACGGAUCUCUUGGCUCUC
rnacentral:misc_RNA from 1 species